UGGGGAAUAUUGGACAAUGGGCGAAAGCCUGAUCCAGCCAUGCCGCGUGUGUGAAGAAGGUCUUCGGAUUGUAAAGCACUUUAAGUUGGGAGGAAGGGCAGUAAGCGAAUACCUUGCUGUUUUGACGUUACCGACAGAAUAAGCACCGGCUAACUCUGUGCCAGCAGCCGCGGUAAUACAGAGGGUGCAAGCGUUAAUCGGAAUUACUGGGCGUAAAGCGCGCGUAGGUGGUUCGUUAAGUUGAAUGUGAAAGCCCCGGGCUCAACCUGGGAACUGCAUCCAAAACUGGCGAGCUAGAGUAGGGCAGAGGGGGGUGGAAUUUCCUGUGUAGCGGUGAAAUGCGUAGAUAUAGGAAGGAUCACCAGUGGCGAAGGCGACCACCUGGGCUCAUACUGACACUGAGGUGCGAAAGCGUGGGGAGCAAACAGG
rnacentral:rRNA from 1 species